UACGGAGGGUGCAAGCGUUGCUCGGAAUCACUGGGCGUAAAGCGACCGCAGGCGGCCUGACAAGUCGGAUGUGAAAGCCCUGGGCUCAACUCAGGAAUUGCAUUCGAAACUGGCAGGCUCGAGUACGGGAGAGGGGGGUGGAAUUCCUGGUGUAGGGGUGAAAUUCGUUGAUAUCAGGAGGAACACCGGCGGCGAAGGCGGCCCCCUGGCCCGCAACUGACGCUCAUGGUCGAAAGCGUGGGAAGCAAACAGG
rnacentral:rRNA from 1 species